GACGAACGCUGGCGGCGUGCCUAAUACAUGCAAGUCGAACGCAGUGGGGACGGGGGAGUAACACGUGGGUAACCUCCCAUCAGAGGGGAUAACACUUGGAAACAGGUGCUAAACCGAUACUGAUGGAUGGACCCGCGGUGCAUGAGCUAGUUGGUGAGGUAACGGCUCACCAAGGCCACGAUGCAUAGCCGUACUGAGAGGGUGAGUGGCCAAACGGCGACUGAGACACGGCCCAGACUCCUACGGGAGGCAGCAGUAGGGAAUCUUCGGCAAGGGACGAAAGGCUGACCGAGCCACGCGGCGUGAGUGAAGAAGGGUUUCGGAUCGUAAAGCUCUGUUGUUAGAGAAGCGGUAUCUAACCAGAAAGCCACGGCUAACUCCGUGCCAGCAGCCGCGGUAAUAC
rnacentral:rRNA from 1 species